GAUGAAGAACGUAGCGAAAUGCGAUACGUAGUGUGAAUUGCAGAAUUCAGUGAAUCAUCGAAUCUUUGAACGCACAUUGCACCACUCGGUACUCCGGGAGGUAUGCCUGUUCGAGCGUCAUUUGUACCCUCAAGCUCUGCUUGGUGUUGGGUGUUUGUUCCGCCUCUGUGUGUGAACUCGCCUCAAAACAAUUGGCAGCCGGCGUACUUGUUUCGGAGCGCAGCACAUUUUGCGAUCCAGAUCAACGUACAGCGGCAUCCAAGAAGCCUUAUUUAACGCUCUUGACCUCGGAUCAGGUAGGGAUACCCGCUGAACUUAAGCAUAUCAAUAAGCGGAGGA
rnacentral:misc_RNA from 1 species